AGUGAACGCUGGCGGUAGGCCUAACACAUGCAAGUCGAACGGCAGCACAGUAAGAGCUUGCUCUUACGGGUGGCGAGUGGCGGACGGGUGAGGAAUACAUCGGAAUCUACUUUUUCGUGGGGGAUAACGUAGGGAAACUUACGCUAAUACCGCAUACGACCUACGGGUGAAAGCAGGGGAUCUUCGGACCUUGCGCGAUUGAAUGAGCCGAUGUCGGAUUAGCUAGUUGGCGGGGUAAAGGCCCACCAAGGCGACGAUCCGUAGCUGGUCUGAGAGGAUGAUCAGCCACACUGGAACUGAGACACGUUCCAGACUCCUACGGGAGGCAGCAGUGGGGAAUAUUGGACAAUGGGCGCAAGCCUGAUCCAGCCAUACCGCGUGGGUGAAGAAGGCCUUCGGGUUGUAAAGCCCUUUUGUUGGGAAAGAAAAGCAGCAGGUUAAUACCCCGCUGUUCUGACGGUACCCAAAGAAUAAGCACCGGCUAACUUCGUG
rnacentral:rRNA from 1 species